rnacentral:rRNA from 1 species
AUGAGUAAUGUGGUACAUCUAUGGCCGAUCUCUGACGAACCUGACCAAAUUGUGUGGUCCUUGGGGAGGAAGAACAAAUUCUCUACCAAAUCCAUAUAUGAAUACCUGGAACGAAACUUGGCUGGGUGUAACUACAAAUGGAUUUGGCAAGCCAAAAUCCCGCUUAAGAUUCAAAUUUUCUUGUGGCAACUUUUUCAAGAUUCUAUUCUGACCAGGGAUGUGAUGAGGAGGCGAAAUUGGCGGGGGAAUCCCUCCUGUUCCUUUUGUGAUAACAGGGAGACAUCCCAACAUCUCUUCUUCACAUGCCCGGUUGCUAGGGUCAUGUGGAGGACUGUGGGAUGCGUGUUGGGUACGGACUGCUGUCCGAAUAACAUUUGGCAAUAUUUUUCCCGGUGCUAUAGCUUCCUUCCAUAG